AUGCAGGUGAAGUUUCGUUGUGUCCGGACCCAAAAAUACAGUAAGAAAAGAAAGCAGCAGCCUGACUUGUGUCCAGCUUAUUUUGUUUUGCAGUAUAGUGAGGACAUAGACCGACUUGUGAUCAGUGAACUGAACAGCAAUCGUGUUCAUGUAGACCCAGGGUCUUCUGUGACCAGAACCACAGCUAAGACUGCAAGCACUACAGCACAUGAGAGCCCUGCAAUAAAGCUGCAUAAGCAACAGGCAGCUGUCCUCCAAGAGCUCCUUCCCUCUGCCCAAGUGCUCCUUUCUGUCUACCACACUGUCUGACUUCUUGAGAAGAAUGUAGAAGCAGCAGAAGUGUCAUCUUCCUUCAAGCAAAACUUGAAGCUGGCCUUGAAGAAUGUAAUAUUUUUUCUACUUUGACAGCAAAUCUAGAUACCUUGUCUCAACUAGUGAAGUGCUUGGUUAAUCAGGAGUUUUAUGACUACCUUCAAGCCAACUGGUUCUCCUGUGAGAUGCUGUGGUAUAUGCAUGCAAAAAAAGGACUGCAUUCAUGCAGCACACAUGGACAGCCUAGAUCUCAUCACUCAAAAUAUCUAGUCUCUUCAGCCAGCAGCUGUCCUUGGAGACGAGCAUUCUUCAUUUUUUUGCAUAUGUGGACUGCUUUGAUGCCAAAGGUUUGGAAAGCUUGAAGCAGAGUUUCUUAAGCAUUGAGGAGGACAGUCAGAGCAGCCUCGAAGAGAAACCUAAAGUGCACAGUUGUGCUGCAGCCAAACAAGCUCCUCUUGAUAGUUCACAGACCCUCCUCAAAUAUCCUGAGCCGCUCAUGCAGGUUGCUAUAGAGAAACCUGCAAAGACAACACGCUCCAUGCUGGCUGCUGGCUGGGAGACUUGUACAGACUUGGCCUACCAGCUGUGUAAGAAUGAGUGGGAAGUAGUGCAGAAGUCAACCCAGCUCAUCAGUGUCGUGCAGGAUAAUAUUGUAGUUCAGGUGCUAGAAGACCCACACCAGGUGGGCAAAGACUACAAGAGCUGCAGUUGUUACUUUCAUUGCCGAUACCAGCUCCCUUGCAGGCAUAUUCUCUGUGCUGCAUGCUAACAAGAAAAGGGUAGAAGAAAGUAUAGUAUGUAAGUGUUGGCAGAAGAAGUACCAGCACCUCUCAGUUCUCGGAGAGAACCUCUUAGACCGUCCUGGACAUCACACAGGUAUCCAGACAGAAGCAGAGGGAAGAUGUGACAAAAUCCAGUCCCUCAGCAAGGAGCUUGCCAGCCUCCUUGAUGCAGUGUGAUGGGGAAGAGCUAGAGGAGCGAAGCUCCACACUCAGAAUGAUUGUGGAUAUCUGGGCUAAGUCACCUGAACCCUUGGGAGAGGCUGAGAAAGACCUGACCUUUAGAAAUGUGGGGGAUCUUCCCUUUCUCUGGGUAAAGCAGGAGGAAGUGGAGAUUGCAAAUGCAGAUUCUGAUGAAUUAACAAUAAAUGUAGACAGGCUUCUGCCA
rnacentral:lncRNA from 1 species